rnacentral:sRNA from 1 species
GGCUUUUUCUUGCAGUGGUGUUUACAACUAACUUAUCACAGCCAGUUACAGAUUUCCUUGUUCCUUCUCCAGCACCGCUCCUUCGCUUGACCAGCCUUAA